AUUGAACGCUGGCGGCAUGCCUUACACAUGCAAGUCGAACGGCAGCACGGGUGCUUGCACCUGGUGGCGAGUGGCGAACGGGUGAGUAAUACAUCGGAACGUACCUUAUCGUGGGGGAUAACGCAGCGAAAGUUGCGCUAAUACCGCAUACGCCCUGAGGGGGAAAGCGGGGGACCGUAAGGCCUCGCGCGAUUAGAGCGGCCGAUGUCUGAUUAGCUUGUUGGUGAGGUAACAGCUCACCAAGGAGAUGAUCAGUAGCUGGUCUGAGAGGACGAUCAGCCACACGGGGAAUGAGACACGGCCCAGACUCCUACGGGAGGCAGCAGUGGGGAAUUUUGGACAAUGGGGGCAACCCUGAUCCAGCAAUGCCGCGUGAGUGAAGAAGGCCUUCGGGUUGUAAAGCUCUUUUGUCAGGGAAGAAACAGCAGCUCUAACACAGUCUGCGAAUGACGGUACCUGAAGAAUAAGCACCGGCUAACUACGUGCCAGCAGCCGCCGCAG
rnacentral:rRNA from 1 species